UGGGGUGUCGCCAAGUGGUAAGGCACAUGGUUCUGGUCCAUGCACCGGGGGUUCGAAUCCCUCCACCCCAGCCA
rnacentral:tRNA from 1 species